rnacentral:rRNA from 1 species
UACGGGGGGGGCAAGCGUUGUUCGGAAUUACUGGGCGUAAAGGGCUCGUAGGUGGCCAACUAAGUCAGACGUGAAAUCCCUCGGCUUAACCGGGGAACUGCGUCUGAUACUGGAUGGCUUGAGUUUGGGAGAGGGACGCGGAAUUCCAGGUGUAGCGGUGAAAUGCGUAGAUAUCGGGAGGAACACCAGUGGCGAAGGCGGCGAUCUGGGAAGAUACUGACGCUGAGGUGCGAAAGCGUGGGGAGCAAACAGG